ensembl:lncRNA
CAUUAACCACCUAAGAAGAGAGCUUUAUGACUACAUCCAGCGAAGGAUUUGCAUGUCUAAAAAGUUAGUUGUUUCAGUACUUAACUUUCAAGUGCCUUGCCCGGGGCUGGCAUCCCCGAUGUUGUGUUUGGCACGGCCACUCUCUAUACUGUGAGUCGAGAAGGUGUGCACAGACAAAUCUUUUGUGCCUUGUCCAAAGCCACGCUGCUUGGCGAAGGAUGGCAACAGCAGAGGAGCCCGGGUUUGUGGUUACGUUGGCGAAGAUGAAGUAUUGGUUUCAGCUGAGGGGAUCUUCUAAAUUGAGGAAGGAAAAGGUUCUCCUCCACUCUCAGUUGAAGAGCAGCAGAGAGGACAGCAGUCCCGGUGGCUUUCAAACUGAGGAGCCCCCAGCACUGCUCCUCCAGGUGCCCCAUGCCUCCAUGCCAUGAGGAGUGAGUACUGAAGGAUGGCAGGGUCACCUUUCAUUGUCACACCUUGCAGUUAGCGAGACUCCAUUAACUGGAAAGCAACGAAGGCAAGGGAGCCACUGAUCUGGGCUGUGGUGAAAGAAACACAUACACUCCAAAGACUUUUUUGAGUAUUUUACUCCAAGGGUACAUGCAGGUGGGAUAUGGAGGGAUCAGUCACACCUGGCCUGGGGAAGUCAGCAUCCAGAACAGUCUGCACUUGGCUGAAAAUGAGACAGUUGCCAGAGCCAUGGCUCAGGACAGGCGAGUCUCACAGCAGGACUGACGUGUCCAAAAGGCACCUCCCAGGCACGUACACUGCUAGAUGAGACUUCCUGAGGUACCCAGUACUGUCCUACUGCAUGAAUACAGCAAGCCCUAUCCAGAGCCUGAUCAAGUGAACAGGAGCACAGCCUUUCUGUGAGGCUGGGCCCUCCCUACUUUAUACCCUGCUGAUCAGAACUAAGGAGGUCUACUGAGUGCACAGGACCAGAAUGCAGAACCACUCUGGAUUUUGACAACGACUGAGAUUCCCCGCAGCUUGCUUUCUGGGGCACAUGGUACUAGCUAGAAGCUUCUGAACCUGAAGCUGUGUAGUUGCAUUAGCUCAGGAUCAGCUUACAAUAAAGAAGUUCCCCACCUGCUUGGAAAAAGGACAAAAUAGGCUCACCUCCAUUUGCAAAAUACCACGUUAGCACAGUCUCAUACACUCUGGGCUUCAGCAUUUGCAGCCACUUCCUUUCAAAAGCAAUAACUUCUGUCUGCCUUUUGUGCAAUUGCCUGGCAGCUGGAACUCUCUGGGAAAUAAAAGUUUUCUGUUCUUUUUAGCCUAGAGUUUGAAAGUCUGUUAAGGGGACUCUCAUUGAGAGUUAAGAGGUAGCAGGGGAGAAGACCACAUCAUACUUCAUAGUGAAGUUAGCCAUGGUGCACAUGAAAAGUCGGGAGUCAUGGAACUAAACAGAGCAAAGGCAAGCUACUGCUUUUGCAUUGCAUGUAGACAGGCAUAGUGUGAAAACCAGGGUUCAGAACUUCCCAUUCUCAG